rnacentral:lncRNA from 10 species
CGAAUCACUUGAAAGAUCAGCAGGCUCAGCUGAGAAAUUCAUAGAAAAAAGAGGUGGGCGGGGCUGCAUAACCAGAACCCUCGGGUCUUGUGCGAUUUAUUUUAUUUUAUUUUUAUUUUAAUCUUGUCUCCUUGUUCCUCCUCAGAACUGACUGCUCAGGUGACAUGGAGGUAGAUCCCAGGAAGGAAGGAAGGGAGAGCAGGAAAGAAAUUGCCUGGGGGUUGAAGAGCUACCGAAGAGAAACUACCCAGCCACGAAACCACAUUUAUUGAGCUCGACCAUAAGAGAACAGGUGGUAGUGAAAUGAAAAUUGUAACUUUUCUCUUGAACUUGAAAUCAAUUUGUAGUUAUAUAUAUUUAUUGAUUAAUUCAAAGGAAUGACUGAAUGAACAAAUGUUUUCCCAUCCAUUUAUUCAUUGAUGCUAUAGCAAUGUACAAUUUUUGGUCUGGAAGAUCUGUGGAUCAUCCAGCUUAAUCUGUUUCCCUAGUUCUCUUCCCUGCCAGACACCCCUGUCCCUGCCCCUUCCAGAGAUGAGGAAACUGAAGCCCAGAGAGGUCAGGUGACUUGCGCAAGGUCCUACUAAUUAGCAGCAGCUUUGGGACUGGAACCCAGGUGUCCUGACACCAAGUUCCCUGUUGUUCUAUAUUUACAUUGUUGGAAACAUCUAUCUUGCC